rnacentral:rRNA from 1 species
GGGGACAACGUUUCGAAAGGAACGCUAAUACCGCAUACGUCCUACGGGAGAAAGUGGGGAUCUUCGGACCUCACGCUAUCAGAUGAGCCUAGGUCGGAUUAGCUAGUUGGUGGGGUAACGGCUCACCAAGGCGACGAUCCGUAACUGGUCUGAGAGGAUGAUCAGUCACACUGGAACUGAGACACGGUCCAG